rnacentral:rRNA from 1 species
UUGGAGGGCAAGUCUGGUGCCAGCAGCCGCGGUAAUUCCAGCUCCAAUAGCGUAUAUUAAAGUUGUUGCAGUUAAAAAGCUCGUAGUUGAAUUUCGGGAUCAGACUGUCGGUCGUGCCUCGGUACGCACUGGCAUUAUUGGUUCCUACCUUCUGAAGAACCGCGAUGUCAUUAAUUUGGUGUCGUGGGGAAUCAGGACUGUUACUUGAAAAAAUUGAGUGUUUAAAGCAAGCUAACGCUUGAAUACAUUAGCAUGGAAUAAUGAAA